rnacentral:rRNA from 1 species
AACGAACGCUGGCGGCAUGCCUAACACAUGCAAGUCGAACGAGACCUUCGGGUCUAGUGGCGCACGGGUGCGUAACGCGUGGGAACCUGCCCUUAGGUUCGGAAUAACUCCCCGAAAGGGGUGCUAAUACCGGCUAAUGUCUUCGGACCAAAGAUUUAUCGCCUUUGGAUGGGCCCGCGUUGGAUUAGCUAGUUGGUAGGGUAAAAGCCUACCAAGGCGACGAUCCAUAGCUGGUCUGAGAGGAUGAUCAGCCACACUGGGACUGAGACACGGCCCAGACUCCUACGGGAAGCAGCAGUGGGGAAUACUGGACAAUGGGCGAAAGCCUGAUCCAUCAAUGCCGCGUGAGUGAUGAAGGCCUGAGGGUUGUAAAGCUCUUUUACCCGGGAUGAUAAUGACAGUACCGAGAGAAUAAGCUCCGGCUAACUCCGUG